CCUACGGGAGGCUGCAGUGGGGAAUAUUGCACAAUGGGGGAAACCCUGAUGCAGCGACGCCGCGUGAGUGAAGAAGUAUCUCGGUACGUAAAGCUCUAUCAGCAGGGAAGAAAGAAAUGACGGUACCUGAGUAAGAAGCCCCGGCUAACUACGUGCCAGCAGCCGCGGUAAUACGUAGGGGGCAAGCGUUAUCCGGAUUUACUGGGUGUAAAGGGAGCGUAGACGGUAAUGCAAGUCUGGAGUGAAAGGCGGGGGCCCAACCCCCGGACUGCUCUGGAAACUGUGUGACUGGAGUGCAGGAGAGGCAGGCGGAAUGCCUAGUGUAGCGGUGAAAUGCGUAGAUAUUAGGAGGAACACCAGUGGCGAAGGCGGCCUGCUGGACUGUAACUGACGUUGAGGCUCGAAAGCGUGGGGAGCAAACAGGAUUAGAUACCCUUGUAGUC
rnacentral:rRNA from 1 species